rnacentral:rRNA from 1 species
UACGUAGGGCGCAAGCGUUGUCCGGAAUUAUUGGGCGUAAAGAGCUCGUAGGCGGCUUGUCACGUCGGGUGUGAAAGCCCGGGGCUUAACCCCGGGUCUGCAUUCGAUACGGGCUAGCUAGAGUGUGGUAGGGGAGAUCGGAAUUCCUGGUGUAGCGGUGAAAUGCGCAGAUAUCAGGAGGAACACCGGUGGCGAAGGCGGAUCUCUGGGCCAUUACUGACGCUGAGGAGCGAAAGCUAGGGGAGCAAACGGG